rnacentral:sRNA from 1 species
GCAGACAGCCGCAGUCCCAGCAUUUAUAUCUGAAGAUUCAAACGAUGUAACAGAAAGACAAGAUAAUAACCUGAAAGAAGAUCAAAGACAAGCAUAUAUUAAUAUCAUCGGAUUAGAAGCAAAUCACAUGUCUGACUCCUUCAAAACAGUAGAACCAUUAGAUGAGAGAGUCAUUCAAAGGAAGGAUCCUUACCGCAACAUAGUGAGACAAGGAGAAACGCCAUUGUCAUCAAACAAUGAAAGAGGACAAGAGCUUCAUCCUCCAGGUGGUGACUACAUAAAUGCAGACGUGGUCAUGGAAACCUCAAAAAACUCUCUUAGAGAUCUAAACUAUGGUUAUAAUAAAAUUAAAGAUCAAAUACUUGAUGACCACCAGUAUGAAGUGCCUCUGGGUUAGAUUGAAACAGAUUAUU